AAGCGCGAGUCAUCAGCUCGCGUUGACUACGUCCCUGCCCUUUGUACACACCGCCCGUCGCUCCUACCGAUUGAAUGGUCCGGUGAAGGGUUCGGAUCGCGGCGACGGGGGCGGUUCGCCGCCCCCGACGUCGCGAGAAGUCCAUUGAACCUUAUCAUUUAGAGGAAGGAGAAGUCGUAACAAGGUUUCCGUAGGUGAACCUGCGGAAGGAUCAUUG
rnacentral:ncRNA from 1 species